UUAAGAUAUGGUCCUGUCUU
rnacentral:siRNA from 1 species